rnacentral:lncRNA from 1 species
CGCUGAUAUAUUUGACACUCAUCAGUAUCAUGGAGUAACCAUAGUGCUUUAUAUCUCUGUAUGUCUUGCAACUAUGGUCAGUUCUCCAAAUAUUUCAACUAGAAACCAAGUCCAAUUCCCAAGGCUCAAAGAAGCAGGUGUCCAGAACCAGGGUGCAACAGACACGCCUAAUUUUGCUAUUCCAGGAACAGCUCAGCAAGAAGCAAACACCCUUUACCCGCGAGACACCAAGAGAAGCUUCCAGACUCUGCAACCUAGCUUUCUGGGGAAUACUUAGGGAGGCAAGAGAGGCAAGUAACACACAGCCAAAGCUAAGGUCCUGCACGCCUUGGCAAUAGGUCUGUCUGUUUCCCACCAGAGUUAGCUGGAGGACUGGGAUUUUCAUCCUACCUAACCCCCCUCCCCGGCAUUCUACCACGGGUGAUCUGGGCCAUGGUUCAUGCGUGAGCAGAUCUCCACCUCAGGGAGUGCGCUAUCCUCCACUCAGAUGCAGGUCCCAACGUUGCAUCUCGGAGGCCAAAGCUCUCUUUGCGUGUUCUGACGACCUUACCACUUUGUGACAGUCUUCAGGACGGUCUGCAGCCCUCCAGAGUGCUCAGCUGGGCUCCAUUUAUAGAUCCAUUUGCAGCACAAAAUGCUGUGCUCGAGCUUCCACAGAGCAAAUCUCUCAGGGCUGUCAAAGACUUUGAAGUGCUUAGAAAGAAAGAAGAGUUUUACAAUGGAGCACAGUGCUCUAGUUAGUUAAUGAUAUAGACGGACAAAACUGGUGCCUCGGUUAUUACUGCCUGCUCAAAGCAAUGCACAUUCAAAGAAUGUAUGCCUUUUAUGACGUAAGAUGCGAGAAACACAGACUGCCUACACACUGUAUGAACUACCUCUGCUUUACGAAGCCAUCUAAAGACAACGAUGAUUCAUUUACUGACCCUGUGUUCUUUGUCAGCUAAUUAUUCUACAAAAUUUACAACAUGUUCUUAAAAGUCAGCAGGACCUGACAAGUACACAAACCUCAAGGGCUGGGGAAAGACAGCAUGAUUUAUGGCUUCUCACUGCUUUCAUUCUGUGUCAGUGAGCUAACUUGCAAAGCCUGGAGAGAGGAAAACCUGUCUUUCACUUCUUUAAAAGGUAUAGAAAUUGAUGCUGAAGUUAAAUCUUUUCAUGGUAUAAAUCCACGGGGGAAAAAAUUAAACACCACUAUCUGGAUCAUUUGACUUAAAUCAACAGCAUGUACAAACAUGCUGUGAAAUUCAAGAAGAAUGCAUGUAAAUAAAGGUUUCCGUUGCUCAGAAUCCA